GUACUGAGCGCAGACAGUGGUGUUGAAUAUAGUGCGUAACCUAGAACUGAACGCAUACAUGCUACCUUACGCAUAUUUUUGAUUGCUACAUAUACUUACCGCACUUAUCUACUGCAAUUAAGUUAAAUCGAAUCGAGACUUAUAUCCCACUUAGUUUUUUUUUAUGAACUUCAAUGUAAUUUUAUGAAUGAAACAUUUUAGGUCGGGUCAAAUCGAGGUUGCAGUAUAAAUAUCAGCGCGUGUAUUACAAGUUAUUCAUUCGUAAGAAAUCAACAGAAGCGUUUAAAGCGUAGUAUUAUAGUGCUACUAUAGGAGAUAUAUAUAUUAUAGUGUAAUAAAUGCAUUCAUGGUGAAGGGAUAAUAUGUAUUACAUCAGAUUCUGAAGAAGUUUUUGGAAACACUGGACUUUCAAUGCAGGGAUAUAUUUAACGACUAUUAACAACAUACAACGUAACGGAGACAUUGAAGGCACAGAAACAAAGAGAAACAGAAAAAUAUCAGGGAUUCGGAUUGUUUGUGAUUUAUGUCAAAGAAAUCCACUGCUGAUUUCUUAAACAAUCUGUUAAUAAUGGAGCGGGUAAUUUACCUAAUAAUAUGUUUUACAUGAUAAUCUCAGUUAGCAAAAUUAUACGUUCACGAAUACAUUAGACAUGAGACAAUACAUUUACAUGAGACAUGAGACAAUACAUUUACAGAUACAUGAGACAAUACAUUUACAUGAGACAUGAGACAAUACAUUUACAGAUACAUGAGACAAUACAUUUACAAAUACAUGAGACAAUACUACAUGAGACAAUACAUUUACAGAUACAUGAGACAAUACAUUUACAAAUACAUGAGACAAUACUACAUUCACGGAUACAUGAGACAAUACUACAUUCACAGAUACAUGAGACAAUACAUUUACAUGAGACAUGAGACAAUACAUUUACAGAUACAUGAGACAAUACAUUCACGAAUACAUACAUUAUAUAGAGUGAUUAUGUCAUUAUAUAAAUUGUGCACACUUCUUUAUAUGUAGUGAUUUUGUCAUUAUAUAAAGUGCAGACUUUUUUUAUAUUUUUUUAUGGUUAUAAUUCUUUAUAUGGAGUUCAAAUUGCCAUUAUAUAAAGUCAGUACUUCUAGAGUGGAUACUUUUUUUUAUAAAAAGAGCUUAUAUCAUCAUACUGCUGUAUAUAAAGUCGUACUUAGAUUACAUAAAGACAAAACUUGAUUAUAAAAUGUGAUUAGUGAUUAUGUCAUUAUGUGUAGCGGAUUGUUCAUUAAAUAGAGCCGUUAUUUCUUUAAAUAAAUAGGUCCAUUUAUGCGGGUGUGCAUUUACCGCAUCACCGCCAUAUUUAUUUUAUGUUUUUCGGUGGUUUAUCGAAAUAUAACGGUGAAUUAUAUCCGAUAAACUCACUGGCCACUCAGUGAAAAUUAUCAAAUCUGAUACCCGGAUUAACGUCAAAAAGUUUACCGAGCGUACUGAAAGCCGGAAACAAUAUGACGAUGACGUCGUUAAAAUGACGUCGUCUUUGCGAUACUUCCUGAUAAAAUUUACCGCAAAUUUCGACAUUUCAUUGAAAUAAACACAACAAAAGUAGAGUUUUAGACAUAAAA
rnacentral:lncRNA from 1 species